ACACUCCUAGGGGCGCAGCAGUUGGGAAUAUUGGACAAUGGAGGAAACUCUGAUCCAGUGACGCCGCGUGAAGGAAGAAGGUCUUCGGAUUGUAAACUUAUUUUAUCAGGGAAGAAAAAAAUGACUGUACCUGAAGAAGAAGCACCGGCUAACUACGUGCCAGCAGCCGCGGUAAUACGUAGGGUGCAAGCGUUAUCCGGAUUUACUGGGUGUAAAGGGCGAGUAGACGGCGUUGCAAGUCAGAUGUGAAAGGCUAGGGCUCAACCUUAGGAGAGCAUCUGAAACUGUAAUGCUAGAGUGCAGGG
rnacentral:rRNA from 1 species